rnacentral:rRNA from 1 species
ACGCCGCGUGAGGGUGAAGGCCUCUGGGCUGUAAACCUCUUUUCUCAAGGAAGAAGAUAGACGGUACUUGAGGAAUAAGCCACGGCUAAUUCCGUGCCAGCAGCCGCGGUAAUACGGGAGUGGCAAGCGUUAUCCGGAAUUAUUGGGCGUAAAGCGUCCGCAGGCGGCCCUUCAAGUCUGCUGUUAAAACGUGGAGCUUAACUCCAUCAUGGCAGUGGAAACUGUUGGGCUUGAGUGUGGUAGGGGCAGAGGGAAUUCCCGGUGUAGCGGUGAAACGCGUAGAUAUCGGGAAGAACACCAGUGGCGAAGGCGCUCUGCUGGGCCAUCACUGACGCUCAUGGACGAAAG